UGCAGGGCAAAGCGGUGGACGCUUACUUGUUUCAUAAACAAGAAUGGUACUGGUUCGAUUCCAGUCUCUGCAA
rnacentral:tRNA from 2 species